UAGAGUGGCGCCGCUGCGAAGAAUCCAGUCAGUCACGGCCUUCAUCAGGGCUGCGAAAAGCUGCGUGUAGGCACCACAUACCGGCAAAAGCAUGCAAAAAGCAUGUUUUGGCAGUAUUGGGGAAAACAGUAGAGAUCAGCCUGUUCCGCUGCUGUAAACCCUCAGGGAGGCAGUUUGUGCAGAGAGCGAUAGCAGAAAUCUGCAAAACCUCUGGCUAUAAACAUGGUGUGAGUGACUAAUUGUGACGGUGGUUGGAGUAAAUAUGUACAUUACACGCAUAAUAUAUGUGGCGGCUGUGGAUUCAGCAGACUGCUUUACCAAAAAAGCUAAGAGUUUUUUUUCCUCCCAGCCUAAUGGUUGUGAAAUAUAUCUCUUUACCUUUGGAAAUGUCGCAAAAUAAAUUUUAGAUAGGCACCUUAACUCCAUUAGUAGAUGCUCUUUAUAAAAUGGCUCUGCAUAACCUGAGGAGACAUGCACUUUCCUUUUGUAAUAAAAAGAAUAAAAUACUUAAAGUGAACAUCUGUGGAACACAGAAUCAUUCUGCUUAUGAAAAAAGGCCUCAAUAAUUCAUUUGUGGCUUCGCUUCACUAUUACAAGGUCUUGCCUUUACUUAUAAGAUAGCCUCCAAAUUUCACAAAUUCAUCUGGCUCUGAAAAUURCUCCUUAUUUACUCCAUAUGAGGUCUUAUGUUUUUCACAACUCCUAUCUACUGACGGGACUUACGAAGUGAGAUGGGAGAAACAUGAUGGAAACGUUGCUGUUUUUGAGGGGCCAACUGAGGAGUCUCUUCACCGAGAGCUGGAAGGAGCUGAGUAAUCGAGUCUGUGGUAGCAACAAGAUGGUGUCACUGAGACAAGGCUGUAAACGUUUGGACCUCGAAUCCGUAACAAACUGAGCRGAAAGCUAAAGGCAGGAGUCCAGUUGCUCCAGGACAGUGGAAAUACUUCAGAUGGUUCUUGAGGAGAAAUGAGCAAGAUGAAGAGAGAGAUUGCCAAGGAGUUGAGGUGGUUUGGGUGGGAAGCCACAGGACGUGGAGUCACGGACGCAGCACAGUGGGCUAUCCAUACAGGGUAAUCGGCCUGACUUCC
ensembl:lncRNA